rnacentral:rRNA from 1 species
UACGUAGGGGGCAAGCGUUGUCCGGAUUUAUUGGGCGUAAAGAGCGUGUAGGCGGCCAGGUAGGUCCGUUGUGAAAACUCGAGGCUUAACCUCGAGACGUCGAUGGAAACCAUCGUGGCUAGAGUCCGGAAGAGGACGAGUGGAAUUCCGUGGUGUAGCGGUGAAAUGCGCAGAUAUCAGGAAGAACACCCGUGGCGAAGGCGGCUCUCUGGGACGUGACUGACGCUGAGACGCGAAAGCGUGGGGAGCAAACAGG